AAAAAAUAUAAAAUGAUAAGACAGUCACAGAACAGGACAGCCAGAGAGACAGGUAUUAAACAGGACACCAGCCAGAAAGACAGGUAUUAAACAGGACACCAGCCAGAAAGACAGGUAUUAAACAGGACACCAGCCAGAGACAGGUAUUAAACAGGACACCGGCCAGAAAGACCGGUAUUAAACAGGACACCAGCCAGAGAGACAGGUAUUAAACAGGACACCAGCCAGAGAGACAGGUAUUAAACAGGACACCAGCCAGAGAGAGAUAUUAUAGUAGAGCAAAAUAUUAGUACCAGAGAUACACAAAUCAAACAUGUCAAGAUACUGUAGGUAACGGAAGCUGCUCUUUCCAUGACACACUGACCAAGUGAAUCCAGAUUAAAGCU
ensembl:lncRNA